rnacentral:rRNA from 1 species
UACGUAGGGGGCAAGCGUUGUCCGGAUUCAUUGGGCGUAAAGAGCGUGUAGGCGGCCAGGUAGGUCGGUUGUGAAAACUGGAGGCUCAACCUUCAGAGGUCGACCGAAACCAUCUGGCUAGAGUCCGGGAGAGGAGAGUGGAAUUCCUGGUGUAGCGGUGAAAUGCGUUGAUAUCAGGGGGAACACCCAUGGCGAAGGCAGCAAACUGGUCAUCAACUGACGCUGAGGCGCGAAAGCGUGGGUAGCAAACAGG